rnacentral:rRNA from 1 species
UGGGAUGACGUCAAUCAUCAUGCCCCUUAUGACCUGGGCUACACACGUGCUACAGUGGUUGGUACAACGAGUUGCGAGUCGGUGACGGCGAGCUAAUACUCUUAAAGCCAAUCUCAGUUCGGAUUGUAGGCUGCAACUCGCCUACAUGAAGUCGGAAUCGCUAGUAAUCGCGGAUCAGCACGCCGCGGUGAAUACGUUCCCGGGCCUU